UUGAACGCUGGCGGCAGGCCUAACACAUGCAAGUCGAACGGUAACAGAAAGCAGCUUGCUGCUUUGCUGACGAGUGGCGGACGGGUGAGUAAUGUCUGGGAAACUGCCUGAUGGAGGGGGAUAACUACUGGAAACGGUAGCUAAUACCGCAUAACGUCGCAAGACCAAAGAGGGGGACCUUAGGGCCUCUUGCCAUCGGAUGUGCCCAGAUGGGAUUAGCUAGUAGGUGGGGUAACGGCUCACCUAGGCGACGAUCCCUAGCUGGUCUGAGAGGAUGACCAGCCACACUGGAACUGAGACACGGUCCAGACUCCUACGGGAGGCAGCAGUGGGGAAUAUUGCACAAUGGGCGCAAGCCUGAUGCAGCCAUGCCGCGUGUAUGAAGAAGGCCUUCGGGUUGUAAAGUACUUUCAGCGGGGAGGAAGGGAGUAAAGUUAAUACCUUUGCUCAUUGACGUUACCCGCAGAAGAAGCACCGGCUAACUCCGUGCCAGCAGCCGCGGUAAUACGGAGGGUGCAAGCGUUAAUCGGAAUUACUGGGCGUAAAGCGCACGCAGGCGGUUUGUUAAGUCAGAUGUGAAAUCCCCGGGCUCAACCUGGGAACUGCAUCUGAUACUGGCAAGCUUGAGUCUCGUAGAGGGGGGUAGAAUUCCAGGUGUAGCGGUGAAAUGCGUAGAGAUCUGGAGGAAUACCGGUGGCGAAGGCGGCCCCCUGGACGAAGACUGACGCUCAGGUGCGAAAGCGUGGGGAGCAAACAUGAUUUGAUACCCUGGUAGUCCACGCCGUAAACGAUGUCGACUUGGAGGUUGUUCCCUUGAGGCGUGGCUUCCGGAGCUAACGCGUUAAGUCGACCGCCUGGGGAGUACGGCCGCAAGGUUAAAACUCAAAUGAAUUGACGGGGGCCCGCACAAGCGGUGGAGCAUGUGGUUUAAUUCGAUGCAACGCGAAGAACCUUACCUGGUCUUGACAUCCACGGAAGUUUUCAGAGAUGAGAAUGUGCCUUCGGGAACCGUGAGACAGGUGCUGCAUGGCUGUCGUCAGCUCGUGUUGUGAAAUGUUGGGUUAAGUCCCGCAACGAGCGCAACCCUUAUCCUUUGUUGCCAGCGGUCCGGCCGGGAACUCAAAGGAGACUGCCAGUGAUAAACUGGAGGAAGGUGGGGAUGACGUCAAGUCAUCAUGGCCCUUACGACCAGGGCUACACACGUGCUACAAUGGCGCAUACAAAGAGAAGCGACCUCGCGAGAGCAAGCGGACCUCAUAAAGUGCGUCGUAGUCCGGAUUGGAGUCUGCAACUCGACUCCAUGAAGUCGGAAUCGCUAGUAAUCGUGGAUCAGAAUGCCACGGUGAAUACGUUCCCGGGCCUUGUACACACCGCCCGUCACACCAUGGGAGUGGGUUGCAAAAGAAGUAGGUAGCUUAACCUUCGGGAGGGCGCUUACCACUUUGUGAUUCAUGACUGGGGUG
rnacentral:rRNA from 1 species